rnacentral:SRP_RNA from 1 species
GGGCAGUGUAGCGGCUGCCUGUAAGCGAGCGCCACUAAGGGGUAUGGAGCUCCUCAGGGACUGCUACCUCGUGGGAUCUCGGUGCAGAUGUCGGGUCCGCUCCAAGACCGCGGUUAACAGGUGGACAUUUCGUGGAAACGAAGUGUGCCCGGUUAUCUAAGGAAGGGGGAAACGCAUCAGGGAGGAAACUCAGCAGUGAGAACUCCUCGCCGCUGUCAGUGGACGGACAGCCCGAUUG